rnacentral:rRNA from 1 species
AUUGAACGCUGGCGGCAGGCUUAACACAUGCAAGUCGAGCGGGGUGAUGGUGCUUGCACUAUCACUUAGCGGCGGACGGGUGAGUAAUGCUUAGGAAUCUGCCUAUUAGUGGGGGACAACAUCUCGAAAGGGAUGCUAAUACCGCAUACGUCCUACGGGAGAAAGCAGGGGAUCACUUGUGACCUUGCGCUAAUAGAUGAGCCUAAGUCGGAUUAGCUAGUUGGGGGGGUAAAGGCCUACCAAGGCGACGAUCUGUAGCGGGUCUGAGAGGAUGAUCCGCCACACUGGGACGGAGGCACGGCCCAGACUCCUACGGGAGGCAGCAGUGGGGAAUAUUGGACAAUGGGGGGAACCCUGAUCCAGCCAUGCCGCGUGUGUGAAGAAGGCCUUAUGGUUGUAAAGCACUUUAAGCGAGGAGGAGGCUCUUUUGGUUAAUACCCAAGAUGAGUGGACGUUACUCGCAGAAUAAGCACCGGCUAACUCUGUGCCAGCCGCCGCCGUAA